rnacentral:rRNA from 1 species
UACAGAGGUCCCAAGCGUUGUUCGGAUUCACUGGGCGUAAAGGGUGCGCAGGUGGUCGGGUAAGUCUGAUGUGAAAUCCCGCAGCUUAACUGCGGAAUGGCAUUGGAUACUAUUCGGCUAGAGGGUUGGAGGGGGGACUGGAAUUCUCGGUGUAGCAGUGAAAUGCGUAGAUAUCGAGAGGAACACCAGUGGCGAAGGCGAGUCCCUUGACAACUCCUGACGCUGAGGCACGAAAGCUAGGGGAGCAAACAGG